CCUACGGGUGGCUGCAGUGAGGAAUAUUGGUCAAUGGACGAGAGUCUGAACCAGCCAAGUAGCGUGAAGGAUGACUGCCCUAUGGGUUGUAAACUUCUUUUAUAUGGGAAUAACAUGUUCUACGUGUGGGAUUUUGUAUGGUCCAUAUGAAUAAGGAUCGGCUAACUUCGUGCCAGCAGCCGCGGUAAUACGGAGGAUCCGGGAGUUAUCCGGAUUUAUUGGGGUUAAAGGGAGCGUAGGUGGAUUGUUAAGUCAGUUGUGAAAGUUUGCGGCUCAACCGUAAAAUUGCAGUUGAAACUGGCAGUCUUGAGUACAGUAGAGGUAGGCGGAAUGCGUGGUGUAGCGGUGAAAUGCUUAGAUAUCACGAAGAACUCCGAUUGCGAAGGCAGUUCACUGGACUGCAACUGACGCUGAGGCUCGAAAGUGUGGGUAUCAAACAGGAUUAGAUACCCGUGUAGUC
rnacentral:rRNA from 1 species